rnacentral:rRNA from 1 species
AAAUUGAAGAGUUUGAUCAUGGCUCAGAUUGAACGCUGGCGGCAGGCCUAACACAUGCAAGUCGAGCGGUAGCACAGAGAGCUUGCUCUCGGGUGACGAGCGGCGGACGGGUGAGUAAUGUCUGGGAAACUGCCUGAUGGAGGGGGAUAACUACUGGAAACGGUAGCUAAUACCGCAUAAUGUCGCAAGACCAAAGUGGGGGACCUUCGGGCCUCAUGCCAUCAGAUGUGCCCAGAUGGGAUUAGCUAGUAGGUGGGGUAACGGCUCACCUAGGCGACGAUCCCUAGCUGGUCUGAGAGGAUGACCAGCCACACUGGAACUGAGACACGGUCCAGACUCCUACGGGAGGCAGCAGUGGGGAAUAUUGCACAAUGGGCGCAAGCCUGAUGCAGCCAUGCCGCGUGUGUGAAGAAGGCCUUCGGGUUGUAAAGCACUUUCAGCGGGGAGGAAGGCGGUGAGGUUAAUAACCUCAUCGAUUGACGUUACCCGCAGAAGAAGCACCGGCUAACUCCGUGCCAGCAGCCGCGGUAAUACGGAGGGUGCAAGCGUUAAUCGGAAUUACUGGGCGUAAAGCGCACGCAGGCGGUCUGUCAAGUCGGAUGUGAAAUCCCCGGGCUCAACCUGGGAACUGCAUUCGAAACUGGCAGGCUAGAGUCUUGUAGAGGGGGGUAGAAUUCCAGGUGUAGCGGUGAAAUGCGUAGAGAUCUGGAGGAAUACCGGUGGCGAAGGCGGCCCCCUGGACAAAGACUGACGCUCAGGUGCGAAAGCGUGGGGAGCAAACAGGAUUAGAUACCCUGGUAGUCCACGCCGUAAACGAUGUCGAUUUGGAGGUUGUGCCCUUGAGGCGUGGCUUCCGGAGCUAACGCAUUAAAUCGACCGCCUGGGGAGUACGGCCGCAAGGUUAAAACUCAAAUGAAUUGACGGGGGCCCGCACAAGCGGUGGAGCAUGUGGUUUAAUUCGAUGCAACGCGAAGAACCUUACCUGGUCUUGACAUCCACAGAACUUAGCAGAGAUGCUUUGGUGCCUUCGGGAACUGUGAGACAGGUGCUGCAUGGCUGUCGUCAGCUCGUGUUGUGAAAUGUUGGGUUAAGUCCCGCAACGAGCGCAACCCUUAUCCUUUGUUGCCAGCGGUUCGGCCGGGAACUCAAAGGAGACUGCCAGUGAUAAACUGGAGGAAGGUGGGGAUGACGUCAAGUCAUCAUGGCCCUUACGACCAGGGCUACACACGUGCUACAAUGGCAUAUACAAAGAGAAGCGACCUCGCGAGAGCAAGCGGACCUCAUAAAGUAUGUCGUAGUCCGGAUUGGAGUCUGCAACUCGACUCCAUGAAGUCGGAAUCGCUAGUAAUCGUAGAUCAGAAUGCUACGGUGAAUACGUUCCCGGGCCUUGUACACACCGCCCGUCACACCAUGGGAGUGGGUUGCAAAAGAAGUAGGUAGCUUAACCUUCGGGAGGGCGCUUACCACUUUGUGAUUCAUGACUGGGGUGAAGUCGUAACAAGGUAACCGUAGGGGAACCUGCGGUUGGAUCACCUCCUUA